GACGAACGCUGGCGGCGUGUCUAAUACAUGCAAGUCGAGCGAAGUUUUUCUGGUGCUUGCACCGGAAAAACUUAGCGGCGAACGGGUGAGUAACACGUAAAGAACCUGCCUCAUAGACUGGGACAACUAUUGGAAACGAUAGCUAAUACCGGAUAACAGCAUUAACUGCAUGGUUGAUGUUUAAAAGUUGGUUUUGCUAACACUAUGAGAUGGCUUUGCGGUGCAUUAGCUAGUUGGUGGGGUAAAGGCCUACCAAGGCGACGAUGCAUAGCCGACCUGAGAGGGUGAUCGGCCACACUGGGACUGAGACACGGCCCAGACUCCUACGGGAGGCAGCAGUAGGGAAUCUUCCGCAAUGGGCGAAAGCCUGACGGAGCAACGCCGCGUGAGUGAAGAAGGAUUUCGGUUCGUAAAGCUCUGUUGUUAGGGAAGAAUGAUUGUGUAGUAACUAUACACAGUAGAGACGGUACCUAACCAGAAAGCCACGGCUAACUACGUG
rnacentral:rRNA from 1 species